UACGUAGGCAGCAAGCGUUGUUCGGAGUUACUGGGCGUAAAGGGUGCGUAGGCGGCUAUUUAAGUUUGGUGUGAAAUCUCCCGGCUCAACUGGGAGGGUGCGCCGAAUACUGAGUGGCUAGAGUGCGGGAGAGGAAAGUGGAAUUCCUGGUGUAGCGGUGAAAUGCGUAGAUAUCAGGAGGAACACCGGUGGUGUAAACGGCUUUCUGGACCAUUGUUGACGCUGAGACACGAAAGCGUGGGUAGCAAACAGG
rnacentral:rRNA from 1 species